UGUAAGGAGAAGUGAGUAAGAUUAGUAAGUGACAUUGUUUUUAUGGGGUACAGGUAUCAUGGUAACAGACAGAGUAAGAUUGUUAUAAGAACACUGACAUAAUGAAAUAUGCUGCUUAAUGUCUUUUAGAUGUGGAGAGAUUUCUGAGUCUAGAGACCCUCUUUUUAUUGUAGUUGCUGCAGGAUUUAGGAAAAACCUAUAGCCCAGGCCUUUCAAUAUUUGCUUGCUUAGGAGAUAAGUAUAUUAAAGCAUCUUUUAUGAGGAACUAUGUUCUGCCUAAGAAUGAAACCAAACAUAACACAGAGAACAGGGAAGUUGCGAUUACCUCCGGCCAUAGUAAAAGUAAACACUCAGAUAUUAUGUCAAGUGAAGGUCAGGUUGAAAUGUGUUUUAGAAUAUUUAGAAAGACAUCAUCCUUCUGAAUCAUAGGGGCUUUCCACUUUGACACAUGGACGGGCAAGGCCAAAACGUGCUUGGUGACCACCCAGAUGGGGGUGGGGAGACUGCUAAAUAUGAGGAAAGGAGUAUCUUUGAUUGAUGACCUAUGCAUGAUGUGUAAUCACUUUAUAAAGCUGUGUAUUGCUAAUUUUUGCUCAGAGUUGGUUCUUGCGAGCCUCUCUCCCAAUUGCCAUUGGUAUAUGUAUUUUAAAAUAAACUCCUUUGGAGCACAAUAAAAUUGUCUGGAAAGUUUUUCCUUCUACAAUUUGGUGCUGUGACUGGAUAAGGACAGCAUAACGGGAUUUAGGGGCUUUUUGGAGCUCCUGGGCUCUCCCAAACUUCCCUAGGCUCCGACCAAGGAGUUUGGAGACCUCUAUUGCAAACUCCCACAAGGGCCAUUUGAGGAGAGGCUAGGAGCUCUGGGUGCCCACCUGUCAGCUCCUUUCUGAACAGCCUGGUUGCUGGAAAAGCUCCAGGGGACAGAGCCUUUCUGCCUUUGCCUGUCUGUCUGUUUGUGUGUUCCUGGCCGGCAGUCCCUGAGUCUUCAAAUAAAGUCUUCGUGCUCAAAAGCUCAAGUUUUGGGUGGACACACUCAAGGUAGUUAAAAUAUCUCUUCAUCUGCCCUGCCCUGCCCUGCUUUGACCUUAGUUUCCUUCAACUUGCUUUUGCUGUAAGGAGAAGUGAGUAAGAUUGAUAUUUGUCAGUGGCUUGCCAGCAUUCACAAAGAAGCAUUCCUGUGAAAAUGGGCAAUGAGUUGAAGAUUAUAGUCCGCAACAUCAGCUAUGACGAUGUCACAGUCGAAGUCAGUGCCAGGCCGCUAUUCAAGCUGCUGGAUGGCAAUGUGGUUUUCUUCUGGUUCACAUGGCUUUGGUCAAGCAUAUUCACAACAACUGUUCGCUCAAAAACUACAGAGUGCGUAAAUACAGUGACUGAAGGGAAUAGCAUCACCUACAAUUUGGGAAGCUGGGGAUGGAGACUUUAUUAUAUCAAUGUGCAGAGGAAAUCUGAUUAUUAUGUCGCUACAUGUACAACUCCACUGAAUUGCACUUGGGUGGUUGAAGAUGGGGGAAUACAUCAAGAAGAUUAUGAACAAAACAAAUGCAAAUUUAUACCACCUCCCAAAGAGAGGAAACUUAGCUAUAUUUAACAUCAACAUAAAUUGGUCCAACAAAAUAGAUCACCUUACCAGCGAUGGAGUUUUUAUUCUCACGGAAAGCAUCAAUUGUUUCUACCAGAUUAUAUAGCCACAACCUCUUCAUCCUAUUGGCAGAUGCCAUCAACCUUUUUCUCUCUCUUCUGUGCUUUUUGGUGGUGGUGGUUGUUUCAUGGUUCACUUUCCAAUUAUUAGCCAUCCAAUACACUGUCUAAUCUUGCUACACCAAGGAGUAUUACAUUGUUUCUAAGGUAAGCCACCUUAUGGCAUUUAUUUGUGCUUCUGCAAAAGGCCAUGCCCAGAUGUUUCAGACUACAGCUUCCAUCAGCCCCAGCCACCACAGCCAUGGAGAAAAUGUUUUUCCAAAUCCUGCCCUAACUUCCAAUUCUGCCAACGAGAUCAGCCUCUCAUCAUCCUGUGUUUGGUGAUUGCACUAUUCUGUUAUUGUAGAAGUGUGUCAGGGAGCCAGUGUAUUCGUAAGGGUAUUGCACCUGAAUUAGGCAGAGGUAGGUUUGAAUCCUGUCUCAGCAAUGAAGAUAACUUGGAGCAGGGAUUUAAUUUAGUGUAACGGUCCCUGUUCUGCGGAAAAAAAGUAUUCCUGUUGAGAUACAACAGGCACCCACUAUCUGGAUGAAGAGGUCUCUGCUCUUGGUGUCUACUUCGUAUUGUUUUUCAAAUUAUCUGCUGUUAUUUUCUGCUGUUUUAGCUGUUUUUAAUGUAUUUUGUGUGUUGCAUUGAGACGUGUGUGGAAACAACAUCAUCAUCAUCACAGGGAGACACUGAGCAAGUUAGAUACCCUCAUCUGAAUUAUCCCAUUGGGUUGUUAAGAUUACCUUUAUGCACACUCCCAUCUCUGGUCACUAUAAAGAAGGGUCUGCUUCCUAUGCAUUUAGGUUUGUCACCUUUCCCCCAUUUUUGAUACUAGGGACACUGUCUCACUGGACCCCCUAUUGCAGGGGUCAGGAAUAUUUUCCAGCCUGAGGGCUGCAUUCCCUUCAGGGCAACCUUUUCGGGGCCACAUGCCAACGGUGGGCAGAGACAGGGGGAUCAUCUACAUGGGAACAUUUCUUUGUAGGAAAUACACUUCUUUUACCUUCACUUUUCUUUUGUGUUGUCCUCAGUUCCUGCUCAAAAGUUAGUUGCCAAUUCACACAAGCAGGCAUUCCUCUGGCGAGGACUACUCUUAACUUUUUCUUGUGGCCCCGCCCUCUAAUUAUACAUUUCCAUUCCCUCUGGUUGCUAAGGUGCCCAUGCAUGCUCUGUCUAGUCUCUCUCUAUAUAUAGUUGGUUCCUGAGAUGCAGAAGGAAGUGUUUGUCUGUGUUUGGAUACCAUCAGAUGCCAUUUUGAAUCAAGUUGGGGGACCAGACCAUUCCAAACUGCACUAAUAUGGUAUCCUCUGAAAAUAUCAUCACCCAAUUAGGUAUGAUGGUUCCUGAGAUAUUAUGGUUUACCCGUAGAAUGGUAAUAGUAGGGCAAUGCACCAGAUUCAGCCAAAUCCCAAACUGACUUGGGCCGAUCUGACUUGGGCAGAACAAAGCUUCAUCUUUGUCAGGAUAAAACAGCAUCAGAUCGCCUCAGGUCAGCCCACCUGGGAUAAUCCAGGCCUUUCAAGGGGUGAGACGGGGUGGGAGAAAGAAAGGCAGGCAGCCUCUGCAAAGAGCAAUACAUGACUGCUUGCCAGAAGGUUUUCAGACAGCUCCAGACUACUUUGGCUGCACGCACCUGUUCCCAAAAGGGGAAUGCACGCAGUCAAACUGAGUAGAGUUGAACCCUCUGCUCACCAACUGGUGAUUGGAGGGUUCAAUCCUGCUGGCUGCAGGGGUCUGCUUCACUAGCGUGUUUCCCGCAGGGAAUUAGGGAUGGCCCCCAAAUUGAUUUAGGACUGCAGCCAGCUUGGGUCAAGCCCAGAUCAGAUCAGGUCUGCACAGCCCUUGGAAAGGCAUAAUUGUUGAUUAACAAACUUUUACUGUCUUCUAGUGCAAUACAGUUAGAACAGCUGGGGUGCUUUUGAACUAGCUGAGCAAGAGAAAAAUUUGGUGAAGGCCCUAGUUUUUAUUUAUAAACUUUUUAUACACUAAUGUGUACAUGUACAUACUUUGUCAAUUAUUCCUUUUAGUCAAUUAUUUUCAUUCAGGCUGCCUAUAUUUUUGUAUCUGCAUUGCACUGGCUUGUUUUCCAUUAUUCUUGAUACACGCUGCAUUGUACUUGGUUUUCUGUUACGUUUUUGGGUAGACCUAAAUGAGUGGCACUGUUAAUUCUCUGCUUGUAUGUAUCAA